rnacentral:rRNA from 1 species
GAGGAGCCCGCGCCCGAUUAGCUAGUUGGCAGGGUAACGGCCCACCAAGGCUAUGAUCGGUAGCUGGUCUGAGAGGAUGGCCAGCCACACUGGAACUGAGACACGGUCCAGACUCCUACGGGAGGCAGCAGUGGGGAAUCUUGCGCAAUGGGCGAAAGCCUGACGCAGCGACGCCGCGUGGGGGAUGAAGCUUCUCGGAGUGUAAACCCCUUUCGACUGGGACGAAUGCCUCGCAAGAGGAGUGACGGUACCAGUAGAAGAAGCCCCGGCUAACUACGUGCCAGCAGCCGCGGUAAGACGUAGGGGGCCAGCGUUGUUCGGAAUUACUGGGUGUAAAGGGUUCGUAGGCGGUGUGGCAAGUCGGGAGUGAAAUCUAUGGGCUUAACUCAUAGGCUGCUUCCGAAACUGCUGUGCUUGAGUGUGGGAGAGGCGCGUGGAAUUGCAGGUGUAGCGGUGAAAUGCGUAGAUAUCUGCAGG